CAUCGAUAAUGGCAAACCAGUUGAAAAACUGGGACGCAAAGCCAAGGGCCUUAACCUUGAAUUCAAGGAAGGCAGCCGGUUGCCGAA
rnacentral:ncRNA from 2 species